GAACACUUUCAAUCAGACCCAUGUAUUGUAAUAAUGGGCCACCUAUUGCUGAUAUGAUACCAUCCUGACUUGAACUUGCUUUUUGAUUUCUUUAAGCAAGUCCAUGUUCAUUCGAAGUUGGAUUGAACUCUCCUGUUCAUUGUAGUUCUCUAUCCUAGUUGUCAACAUCCUGAUUUCAAUCGAAAUGACCACUUCGGUAUCAAAGGUGAGGUUGAAUGGUGUUUCCUUGGUGGGAGUCUGAGGAGUCAUCUAAUAGGCCUAGAGCAUGUUGUAGAAUUCUUCGGCCCAAAAUCUUUUGGCUUGGCUAAGUCUUACCUUCAAUCCUUGCU
rnacentral:lncRNA from 1 species